rnacentral:rRNA from 1 species
AUUGAACGCUGGCGGCAGGCCUAACACAUGCAAGUCGAACGGUAACAGGAAGCAGCUUGCUGCUUUGCUGACGAGUGGCGGACGGGUGAGUAAUGUCUGGGAAACUGCCCGAUGGAGGGGGAUAACUACUGGAAACGGUAGCUAAUACCGCAUAACGUCGCAAGACCAAAGAGGGGGACCUUAGGGCCUCUUGCCAUCGGAUGUGCCCAGAUGGGAUUAGCUAGUAGGUGGGGUAACGGCUCACCUAGGCGACGAUCCCUAGCUGGUCUGAGAGGAUGACCAGCGACACUGGAACUGAGACACGGUCCAGACUCCUACGGGAGGCAGCAGUGGGGAAUAUUGCACAAUGGGCGCAAGCCUGAUGCAGCCAUGCCGCGUGUAUGAAGAAGGCCUUCGGGUUGUAAAGUACUUUCAGCGGGGAGGAAGGGAGUAAAGUUAAUACCUUUGCUCAUUGACGUUACCCGCAGAAGAAGCACCGGCUAACUCCGUG